CCCACAAAUCUAACUGAGAGAAUGUGCUGCCUCGGUAUUUCCGUCUAAAACGUCGCCGUAUCAUUAACAGAAGCCGCCGGUUAUAAUGUCGUGCUUCAUUCUGAGGCCUCGGCAAUACAAGAUCCGAGAAGUAGGAUUGUCCAGGUAAUGCAUCCGGCGCUAGCGCCGGAUGGUGUGGAGGCGAUUAUCGGAGUGGAUGGGGUGAGAGAGAGGAGCUGAAGGGAGAACGGUGUCGGGAGCUCACGCAGGCUAAAAAAAUUGUGUGCACGAUCUGGCCUCGUACUUGCGGGUUGGACGAGCUCGAGGCACUAUUCGAUCGGCGGCACGGAAGUCGCGAGGUGGAACAUGUGCGACCGGACGCGGGAGUGGCACGAAGCCGUGAUCGAACGAGUAAGGAGGUUGAAUGAGGAGAAUUGUUUUGGCGUGGCGGUUAUAACGGGUAUGAAGAGGAGCGAAAUUCGCAUGGGGGAUCUAAACGGUUUUGCUUCAGCCAAAGUGGAGAUAUUCCGAGUUUUAUCUCGCAGGAUGGUGAAAUAUGGACGUUCAGUGUUCGCGCAGUUGAUUCACAUUGUCCUGAAGGUACGGUUGCCGUGAAACGAUGAUGGUUUUGCUGAAGUGCAGUGUUUGGCCGGAUGGUGGAUCGUGAUAAGCUGAUUUUCCUUCUUCCUUCACAUCACAUUUGCUUGAAGUUUUGGUCAGUCACCCUGCAUACACUGCAUUCGGAUGGUUAUAAAACAUGUGAUAAAACUGACUUUCAUUCUAACUAGGAGAAUUUUCUUAAAAAACACAAAAACAAAACAAGUUCAAUAGCUAAUAAGAUAUCUUUCGAGGAU